rnacentral:ncRNA from 2 species
CUUCAAGAACUGCGGCCGCCAAGCUCCGACUUGGCCGCAUACCAACCCCACGCUCGUUGGGUGGUUCGGAUGAAGAAGCGGCCUGCACUCGCCCCUGGGGCAACCGGUGCCAGGCAAGAGCACGCC